rnacentral:rRNA from 1 species
AUUGAACGCUGGCGGCAUGCCUUACACAUGCAAGUCGAACGGCAGCACGGGAGCAAUCCUGGUGGCGAGUGGCGAACGGGUGAGUAAUAUAUCGGAACGUGCCCAGUCGUGGGGGAUAACGUAGCGAAAGCUACGCUAAUACCGCAUACGAUCUACGGAUGAAAGCGGGGGAUCGCAAGACCUCGCGCGGUUGGAGCGGCCGAUAUCAGAUUAGCUAGUUGGUGGGGUAAAAGCUUACCAAGGCGACGAUCUGUAGCUGGUCUGAGAGGACGACCAGCCACACUGGAACUGAGACACGGUCCAGACUCCUACGGGAGGCAGCAGUGGGGAAUUUUGGACAAUGGGCGAAAGCCUGAUCCAGCAAUGCCGCGUGCAGGACGAAGGCCUUCGGGUUGUAAACUGCUUUUGUACGGAGCGAAGCGGUCUCUUCUAAUACAGGGGGCUAAUGACGGUACCGUAAGAAUAAGCACCGGCUAACUACGUGCCAGCAGCCGCAGUAACAC